rnacentral:rRNA from 1 species
UGGGGAAUUUUGGACAAUGGGCGAAAGCCUGAUCCAGCCAUGCCGCGUGAGUGAAGAAGGCCUUCGGGUUGUAAAGCUCUUUUAGUCGGAAAGAAAGAGUCGCAAUGAAUAAUUGUGAUUUAUGACGGUACCGACAGAAAAAGCACCGGCUAACUACGUGCCAGCAGCCGCGGUAAUACGUAGGGUGCGAGCGUUAAUCGGAAUUACUGGGCGUAAAGGGUGCGCAGGCGGUUUUGCAAGUCAGAUGUGAAAGCCCCGGGCUUAACCCGGGAAUUGCGUUUGAAACUACAAGGCUAGAGUGCAGCAGAGGGGAGGGGAAUUCCAUGUGUAGCAGGGAAAUGCGUAGAGAUGUGGAAGAACACCGAUGGCGAAGGCAGCUCCCUGGGUUGACACUGACGCUCAGGCACGAAAGCGUGGGGAGCAACCA